GAAAAACCAUAUUAGCUGCUCUGGCUUGUAUUACUUGCAAAAUAAAUGUGUAAAUGUAAUUGUGUUUUCAAAUGAUUAUUUGAAGUAUUUUUUAAAUUUAACCUUUUCAUGCUAUAGUUUUGUUACUGGUUUAACAGAUACAGUGUUGAAAAGUUCACAUUUGGAGUAUUUCACAAUGCUGUGUUAAUAAUCUGCAGGUGCUAUCUUGUUUUUUUAUUUUGCAUAUCAGAAUUUCUGUGAUGACUACAUUUUAGAGAUAAUUUGACCAUAUUUUAGAUGUUGUAUAUGAAUACAUUGAAUUAGUUUCUAAACUUCUAGACUUAGAUGCUGUUUUCUGAAUGACACUAGCUGUUUUUGUUCAGCACAUAGGGGUUAAGGAGGAAAGGGAGAUCAAAAUGAAGGCUAAAAAACGAGCUGAGGAAGUUGUUUCAGACUGCUGUGAGUCUGUGCGUCCACAACAGUCUCAUAGUCCCAGAACAAGCCCGCAGCUACUACAGAUCAGCCCUUGACGCAGAUCUACGGUUUGCUGUGUACCGCCAUUCUGAUAAUGACAUCACCGGACGCUGCCUGAUCUACACCCACAAGGUUGUCAAUGCAAAAGGCGAAAGAGAAAAUAACGCAGAACUGCAGCUACUGUCACGGUCAGAGGCUGCUGCCUCUGAGCUGAAGACAACACCAACCGAUGAACAAUUAUUCUCUGAGCUGUGUGACAUCUUCCUGCCUGGCCUCAUACCUUCCUGCCAGCUGGUUGUCUUUACCACCACCACAGAGUGUGACCAUCAGCGCGGUUACACGACAGCCAGGAGACUAUGCUAUGCAGAGUCUCUGCCAGCAGGCGUACUCUGACCUUGUGGGGUUGAUUGACAGCUGUAACAUCUUAGAAAGCAGAGAGGACUCUCAGCUCAGUGAUGCUUUGGCCAGAGAGCAGGCCGAGCAGGAGGAGCUGUGCCGCCUUCUGUGCUGCUUUUAUGAUGUCAUUCAGCCAGAGGAGGAAAAGUCAGAGCCUAUAUGGAGCAGAGUGACCAACAUUGCCCACUAGUGGCGACAGGAGGGCCCUGCACAGGGAAGACAGUGCUGCUGUCAUACUGUGCUCAACAGAUAAAGUCCUGGCUACCAGACAGCAGUCCUGUGGUGAUCCCUUACUUUAGCAAUCUGUCAAUCAACACUUCUCCAAAGCACCUGUUGUCCAGCCUGUGUUAUCAAAUAGCCAGUAGAUAUCA